rnacentral:rRNA from 1 species
AUGUGGGAUCUCAAUGACUCGCCGGCCGCCGAGGCGGCACACGCGCCGCUGUCCCCCUCCGUCGACGACUCCGGCGCCUCAUCCUCCUCGGCCGCCGCGGUGGUGGAGAUACCCGACGACGGCGAGGACGACUCCGCCGAGGCCGUCGUCACGCGCCAGUUCUUCCCCCCGGCCGCCCCGGGCGAGGGCGCCGCCGGGAACGGCCGCGCGGCGUGGCUCCGCCUGGCCGGCGCUCCCGCGCCCGCCGUGGCCGCAGCUGCCGCGGCCGCCGCAGGAGGAGGAGGAGGAGGAGGCGGAGGCCCCGCGGCGUCGGCGGCGGCCAAGAAGAGCCGGCGCGGGCCGCGGUCGCGCAGCUCGCAGUACCGCGGCGUCACCUUCUACCGCCGGACGGGCCGGUGGGAGUCGCACAUAUGGGAUUGCGGCAAGCAGGUCUAUCUGGGAGGAUUCGACACUGCUCAUGCGGCGGCUCGGGCGUACGAUCGGGCGGCGAUCAAGUUCCGCGGCAUGGAGGCCGACAUCAACUUCAGCCUGGAGGAUUACGACGACAUCAAGCAGAUGGGCAACCUGACCAAGGAGGAGUUCGUCCACGUGCUCCGGCGGCAGAGCACGGGGUUCCCCCGGGGCAGCUCCAAGUACCGGGGCGUCACGCUCCACAAGUGCGGCAGGUGGGAGGCGCGGAUGGGCCAGUUCCUCGGCAAGAAGUACGUCUACUUGGGGCUGUUCGAUACCGAGGAGGAAGCCGCCAGGUCGUACGACCGCGCGGCCAUCAAGUGCAACGGCAAGGACGCGGUGACAAACUUCGAUCCCAGCACUUACGCCGAGGAGUUCGAGCCCACGGCUUCGGCCGGCGACGCCGAGCAGAACCUGGACUUGUCGCUGGGGAGCUCCGCGGGGUCCAACAAGAGGGGCAGCCUCGACGGCGGCGACGACGACGGCGCGGCCGGGCCCGACCAGCGCGUCCCCAUGGCCUUCGAGCUCGACUGGCAGACGGCGGCGGCGCGGAGCACCAAGGCCAAGUUCGACCAGAGCUUCACGCAUCACCAGAUGCCCCCUCCGCUCCUGCAAGCCUCCCACAUGCCCUUCAGUCCCAGGCAUCACCAAUUCAUGGGCAACGGUGAUCCGGGGACAGCGGGAGGCCCGUCGCUGACGGUCGGCGCCGGCGGCGGGGGCGGGCACUGGCCCCUGCCUCCGCACCACCAAUACCAGCCGCCGCCGCCUCCGCAGCAGCAGCAGCAGCAGCAGCAGAGGCUGCAUGGCUGGGGCAACGUCGUCCCCGGCACGAGCUGGCAGCCGCCCCAGCCGCCGCCGCACCACCAGGCGGGGCCGCCGCCGAACAACGCUGCCGCCGCCGCAGCAGCAGCCGCAGCAUCAUCACGAUUCCCACCCUACAUCGCCACGCAGGCGCAGAGCUGGCUCCAGAAGAACGGGUUCCACUCGCUGGCCCGCCCCACCUAG